ncrna:unclassified sequences Glutamine riboswitch
AACGUUCACCCGAAAGGGCGGAAGUAAGCAAUAGCUGAAGGAACGCACC